rnacentral:rRNA from 1 species
AAGCUCGUAGUUGAAUUUCCCGUCCGGCUGUUGUGGUCGGCCGCACAGGUCUGUACUCCUCGGGCCGGGCCUUUCCUUCUGGAGAACCGUCAUGCCAUUCACUUGGUGUGGCGGAGAUCCAGGACUUUUACCUUGAGAAAAUUAGAGUGUUUAAAGCAGGCAAACGCUUGAAUACGUUAGCAUGGAAUAAUAGAAUAGGACUUUGGUUCUAUUUUGUUGGUUUCUAGGACCGAAGUAAUGAUUAAUAGGGACAGUUGGGGGCAUUAGUAUUUAGUUGUCAGAGGUGAAAUUCUUGGAUUUACGAAAGACUAACUUCUGCGAAAGCAUUUGCCAAGGAUGUUUUCAUUAAUCAAGAACGAAAGUUAGGGGGUCGAAGACGAUCAGAUACCGUCGUAAUCUUAACCAUAAACUAUGCCGACUAGGGAUCGGACGAUGUUAAUUUAUAAUUGACUCGUUCGGCACCUUACGAGAAAUCAAAGUUUUUGGGUUCCGGGGGGAGUAUGGUCGCAAGGCUGAAACUUAAAGGAAUUGACGGAAGGGCACCACCAGGAGUGGAGCCUGCGGCUUAAUUUGACUCAACACGGGGAAA